UACGGAGGGGGCUAGCGUUGUUCGGAAUUACUGGGCGUAAAGCGCACGUAGGCGGCUUUGUAAGUUAGAGGUGAAAUCCCUCGGCUUAACCGAGGAACUGCCCUCCAAACUGCUUCGCUUGAGACCGGGAGAGGUGAGUGGAAUUCCCAGUGUAGCGGUGAAAUGCGUAGAUAUUGGGAGGAACACCAGUGGCGAAGGCGGCUCACUGGACCGGUACUGACGCUGAUGCGCGAAAGCGUGGGGAGCAAACGGG
rnacentral:rRNA from 1 species